ACGGGAGGCAGCAGUGAGGAAUAUUGGUCAAUGGGCGGAAGCCUGAACCAGCCAAGUCGCGUGAAGGAUGAAGGUAUUAUGUAUUGUAAACUUCUUUAGCUGUGGAGCAAUAAUCUCCAUGUAUGGAGAGAUGAGAGUACACAGAGAAUAAGGAUCGGCUAACUCCGUGCCAGCAGCCGCGGUAAUACGGAGGAUCCGAGCGUUAUCCGGAUUUAUUGGGUUUAAAGGGUGCGCAGGCGGCUUUCUAAGUCAGUGGUCAAAUCGUGGUGCUCAACGCCAUCCCGCCAUUGAUACUGGAGAGCUUGAUUGCGGUCGAGGUUUGCGGAAUUCGUCGUGUAGCGGUGAAAUGCAUAGAUAUGACGAAGAACACCGAUUGCGUAGGCAGCUUACCAAGCCGUAAAUGACGCUCAUGCACGAAAGUGCGGGGAUCGAACAGGAUUAGAUACCCUGGUA
rnacentral:rRNA from 1 species